UGAGGUUGUAGCUCAGUGGUAGAGUGCUUGCCUAGCACGUGUGAGGCACUGGGUUUGAUUCUCAGAACAUUAU
rnacentral:tRNA from 1 species